rnacentral:tRNA from 1 species
GUCCCUGUAGCGCAAUGGAUAACGCGUUGGACUUUGAAAUCAAAGGUCGUGGGUUCGAAUUCCACCUGGGAUG